rnacentral:rRNA from 1 species
GUUGUCCGGAUUUAUUGGGCGUAAAGAGCGUGUAGGCGGUUAGGUAAGUCCGUUGUGAAAACUCGAGGCUCAACCUCGAGACGCCGAUGGAAACCCCCUAACUAGAGUCCGGAAGAGGAGAGUGGAAUUCCUGGUGUAGCGGUGAAAUGCGCAGAUAUCAGGAAGAACACCCGUGGCUAAGGCGGCUCUCUAGUACGGUACUGACGCUGAGACGCGAAAGCGUGGGGAGCGAACAGG